rnacentral:tRNA from 1 species
GAGUAGCUAGCCUAGUGGUUGGAUGUGUGUGUGUUGAGCAGCACGGCUUGGGUUCGAUUCCCAGGCCAUUCC